rnacentral:tRNA from 1 species
UAAAGAGUAGGUAAAUAGGAAUACCACAAAACUUUGAAUUUUGAAUCGGAAGUUCAAUCCUUCCCUCUUUAA